AGGACUAACGCUGGCGGCGUGCCUAACACAUGCAAGUCGAACGAAGUAGCAAUACUUAGUGGCAGACGGGUGAGUAACACGUAGUCAACCUGCCCUUCAAUGGGGGAUAACUAGCCGAAAGGUUAGCUAAUACCGCAUACGAUCUCUGAGUGGCAUCACUCGGCGAUGAAAGGAGUAAUCCGUUGAAGGAGGGGACUGCGUCCCAUUAGUUAGUUGGUGGGGUAAUGGCCUACCAAGACUCCGAUGGGUAGCUGGCUUGAGAGAGCGACCAGCCACACUGGAACUGAGACACGGUCCAGACUCCUACGGGAGGCAGCAGUGAGGAAUUUUCCGCAAUGGGGGAAACCCUGACGGAGCGACGCCGCGGUGUGGGAAGAAGGCCUUCGGGUCGUAACCACUGUCGAGGGGACGGAUAUUGACGGUACCCCGUGGAGGAAGCCCCGGCUAACUACGUGCCAGCAGCCGC
rnacentral:rRNA from 1 species